GACAGAGGGUGCAAACGUUGUUCGGAAUUACUGGGCGUAAAGCGCGUGUAGGCUGCUCUGUAAGUCGGAUGUGAAAGCCCUGGGCUCAACCUAGGAAGUGCACUCGAAACUGCAGAGCUUGAGUCCUGGAGAGGAAGGCGGAAUUCUCGGUGUAGAGGUGAAAUUCGUAGAUAUCGAGAGGAACACCGGUGGCGAAGGCGGCCUUCUGGACAGUGACUGACGCUGAGACGCGAAAGCGUGGGGAGCAAACAGG
rnacentral:rRNA from 1 species